GCCGAGGGGCGGGCGUGCCUUGUGGGACUCACCCAGAUUCAUUCUAAGGUUGGGGCAGAGCUUGGGGGACGUCAGCAGUUCGCAGUUUAACUCUGAAAGCGGGUGUGCAAGCAACCUUAAGAGUUGUCCUGGGUUCUGUGAACUAUGGGCACAUUUAAAGAGCUGGAGAGACGGCUGAAGAGGAAGCCACUUCUCUACAUGGUCUGCACUUACAGUAGAUACAUUCAUUAUUGUCCAAGGGAAGACAGCCACUGCCUUUCACUUAAAGAGCUUGGUGGAGAGGCUGAAGGGAUGCGCUGCAGCCGAAGAUGAAGAAACUGAGGCAUGGCAAGGCCAUGAAUUUUUCUUCAGUCUUCUAUGUGGAUCUGCUGCCAUUCCAGGCAAGGAAAGCCCUACAUCUCUUUCUGAAUCCUUGACCAUCUCCCAUGGUGUGCUUAACUCAACAUUUACCAUCUGUCUGCCUUUCUAUCUACAAUAUAUUAUAUGUACUCUUGUGUAUAAAAUAUAAAUAAUUCUUAAACUCCCA